AUUGAACGCUGGCGGCAUGCCUUACACAUGCAAGUCGAACGGUAACAGGUCUUCGGAUGCUGACGAGUGGCGAACGGGUGAGUAAUACAUCGGAACGUGCCUAGUAGUGGGGGAUAACUACUCGAAAGAGUGGCUAAUACCGCAUGAGAUCUACGGAUGAAAGCAGGGGAUCGCAAGACCUUGUGCUACUAGAGCGGCCGAUGGCAGAUUAGGUAGUUGGUGGGAUAAAAGCUUACCAAGCCGACGAUCUGUAGCCGGUCUGAGAGGACGAUCAGCCACACUGGGACUGAGACACGGGCCAGAUUCCUACGGGAGGCAGCAGUGGGGAAUUUUGGACAAUGGGCGCAAGCCUGAUCCAGCAAUGCCGCGUGCAGGAUGAAGGCCUUCGGGUUGUAAACUGCUUUUGUACGGAACGAAAAGCCCUGGGUUAAUACCCUGGGGUCAUGACGGUACCGUAAGAAUAAGCACCGGCUAACUACGUGCCAGCCGCCGCCGUAAGAC
rnacentral:rRNA from 1 species